rnacentral:rRNA from 1 species
UACGUAGGGCGCAAGCGUUAUCCGGAAUUAUUGGGCGUAAAGAGCUCGUAGGCGGUUUGUCGCGUCUGCCGUGAAAGUCCGGGGCUCAACUCCGGAUCUGCGGUGGGUACGGGCAGACUAGAGGUAGGCAGGGGAGAGCGGAACUCCUGGUGUAGCGGUGGAAUGCGCAGAUAUCAGGAGGAACACCGGUGGCGAAGGCGGAUCUCUGGGCCAUUACUGACGCUGAGGAGCGAAAGCGUGGGGAGCGAACAGG